ACUGGUGCACAUGAUGACUUAAAACUUUUUUCCCCAUCAGAGCGUCAGUGUUGAUCUCUUUGCUGUUACAGCCAGAAUCGUCUGAUGCACCAGU